AUACGUAGGGUGCAAGCGUUAAUCGGAAUUACUGGGCGUAAAGCGUGCGCAGGCGGUUUUGUAAGACAGUGGUGAAAUCCCCGGGCUCAACCUGGGAACUGCCAUUGUGACUGCAAGGCUGGAGUGCGGCAGAGGGGGAUGGAAUUCCGCGUGUAGCAGUGAAACGCGUAGAUAUGCGGAGGAACACCGAUGGCGAAGGCAAUCCCCUGGGCCUGCACUGACGCUCAUGCACGAAAGCGUGGGGAGCAAACAGGAUUAGAUACCCUGGUAGUCCACGCCCUAAACGAUGUCAACUGGUUGUUGGGGAUUUAUUUUCUCAGUAACGAAGCUAACGCGUGAAGUUGACCGCCUGGGGAGUACGGCCGCAAGGUUAAAACUCAAAUGAAUUGACGGG
rnacentral:rRNA from 1 species